rnacentral:rRNA from 1 species
CUACGUGCCAGCAGCCGCGGUAAUACGGAGGGUGCGAGCGUUAAUCGGAAUAACUGGGCGUAAAGGGCACGCAGGCGGUGACUUAAGUGAGGUGUGAAAGCCCCGGGCUUAACCUGGGAAUUGCAUUUCAUACUGGGUCGCUAGAGUACUUUAGGGAGGGGUAGAAUUCCAUGUGUAGCGGUGAAAUGCGUAGAGAUGUGGAGGAAUACCGAAGGCGAAGGCAGCCCCUUGGGAAUGUACUGACGCUCAUGUGCGAAAGCGUGGGGAGCAAACAGGAUUAGAUACCCUGGUAGUCCACGCUGUAAACGAUGUCGAUUUGGGGGUUGAACUUUAGGUUUGGCGCCCGUAGCUAACGUGAUAAAUCGACCGCCUGGGGAGUACGGCCGCAAGGUUAAAACUCAAAUGAAUUGACGGGGGCCCGCACAAGCGGUGGAGCAUGUGGUUUAAUUCGAUGCAACGCGAAGAACCUUACCUACUCUUGACAUCCAGAGAACAUUC